GUAGGUGGCAAGCGUUGUCCGGAAUUAUUGGGCGUAAAGCGCGCGCAGGCGGUCCUUUAAGUCUGAUGUGAAAGCCCACGGCUCAACCGUGGAGGGUCAUUGGAAACUGGGGGACUUGAGUACAGAAGAGGAAAGCGGAAUUCCAAGUGUAGCGGUGAAAUGCGUAGAGACUUGGGGGAACACCAGUGGCGAAGGCGGCUUUCUGGUCUGUAACUGACGCUGAGGCGCGAAAGCGUGGGGAGCAAACAGGGAUUAGAUACCCUGGUAGUCCACGCCGUAACGAUGAGUGCUAAGUGUUAGGGGGUUUCCCGCCCCUUAGUGCUGCAGUUAACGCAUUAAGCACUCCGCCUGGGGAGUACGGCCGCAAGGCUG
rnacentral:rRNA from 1 species